rnacentral:lncRNA from 1 species
UUUAAAGGAAACUUUUAGUAUUUCUGAUUCAUUGAGUACAUGGAGGAUGAAUUACAAGGUUGAGACAGAAAGGAAGGAUUAAGAAGGGAAUAGAAAACUCAGUACAGCUGAGGGAAGAAGAGAGGUAGCAGCUAUUGCUAAAAAGUGAUAUCAUGCCUCACCUGGUAAUACCUACCCUUAUUUAUACAACAAUACCCAAUGUCAUUCAUCCGAAUGGUACCUAAAUUGUGGCUAGCCCACCAAGUAUCCACGAAGGACCACAGGUGUCCUUUUCUCCCGUUGGGGUCUGUUACUUCCUAACGGUUUGCCAGGUGGAUCUUUAUUGCUGCUUGUGCUUGGCAUUGGGGCAGGGUUAAGGUCCAUUACAUUACUCCCUUCUGCAAGAUGAACCUUGUCCGCAAAGUUCGAAGGAUUUGGGUCGAUGAGGGGUAGAGGAAUACUUUGGCUCUCGGGGUUGCCGAAGCAUUUCUUCAGAACUGAAACAUGAAAGACUGGGUGUAUGCGAGAAGAUGGCGGUAAAUCAAGCUUAUAAGCCACGGUGCCAAUGCGUUUUAGGACUUUAAAAGGACCAAAGUAUCGUUGGCUGAGUUUCUGAUUUCUGUGCAGGCGAAGGGAAAGCUGUCGAUAGGGCUGAAGUUUAACGAAAAGCCAAUCGCCAACAGCAUAAGAGAUGUCUCGAUGAUGUUUAUCAGCUUGGUUUUUUUGACGAUUCUGGGCUGUAAGUAGAUUGUGUUUAAGCUGUCGGAGUAUAAUGUCACGAUUGGACAGGUCAUGGUCUAGGGCUGAAAGUUUAGCCGUGCCUGGAAUAUAUCAAAUAAUUGUUGGUGGGUCGCGGCCAUAUAAAGCUUUAAAUGGGGACAUUCCGGCUGAGGUAUGAUGCGAAGUGUUGUACCAAUAUUCGGCCCAUGGCAGAAAUUUAACCCAAGAGUUAGGAAUGUCAGCAACAAAGCACCUGAGAUACAUUUCCAAAACUUUGUUGACAGCCUCAGUUUGUCCAUCUGUCUCUGGAUGAUAAGCAGAGCUCAAUGCUCGUGUAGUGCCCUGUAAUUUAGUGAGUUCAUCCCAAAAGACACUCAAGAAUAAAGGAUCCCGAUCACUAAUUAUUUUUGUGGGAAUUCCAUGUAAUUUAACCACCCCAUUCAAAAACACCUCAGCUAAUUUUGUACUAGUAAAGGUACUGGGCAAAGGCAAAAAGUGAGCAUAUUUGGAUAAUCGAUCCACAACGACAAAUAUGAUCGUUUUACCAAAAUAUGGGGGAAGACCGGUGAUGAAAUCCAUAGUGAGUUCUUCGAAAACUUGUGUUGGCAAAGGUCAGGAUUGAAGUAAACCGGCGGGGGCCAAUUGAGAGGCUUUCAUUGUUUGACAAACAACACAUUCGCGAACAAAUUGUUGUACAUCUUUGCGCAUGGAGGGCCAGUAAAAAUUUGCUGCUAGUCUAUAGAGGGUGCGUGAUAUUCCAGCAUGUCCACCGACGACUGAGCAGUGGAAUUCUUCGAGUAGAGCUUUACGCAAGGUGGCGUCCGUGGGCACUACCAAUCUGUUUUUAAAGAGUAAUAAUCCGUCAUGCACCGAAUAGUCUUGAAAUUCAGAGUUACAAGCAGCCAGCUGAGCGUGGAUGUGUAAUAGAUCGGGGUGAGAGCUAUUUAAUUUCUGAAAUUCUGCAAGUCGAGUAAAUUCUUGAACUGACAAGGUAAGAAGACAGCCUGUCGGGUAGCGAGAUAAGGUGUCAGCCACUGUAUUUAACUUCCCUGGUCUGUAUAAUACUUCGAAGUCGAACCCAAUCAAUUUAUAGAGCCAAUGUUGCUGUUCUGGUGUUUGUAUUGUUUGUGCGGUGAGAUUUUUCAAGGAUUUUUGGUCCGUGAUGAUGGAAAAUCGUCUCCCCAACAAGUAUUGUCUCCAUUUGCCCACUGCUUGGGUAAUAGCAAACAUCUCGCGAUGGUAUGCUGGUGCGCCUUGCAUUCGGGUGGAUAACUUUUGGCUAUAGUAGGCAAUGGGUUUUCCUCGUUGAACCAAUACGGCACCGAUUCCCGUUCCGGAUGCAUCGGUUUCGAUUGUAAAUGGGGCUGAAAAGUCUGGAAGGGCCAAGAGAGGUGCACUGCUUAAGGCUUCUUUCAACUGGAUGAAUGCCGAUUGUGCCGCGGGUGUCCAAUUAAAAUUGUCGAUUUUGAGAAGGUCAGAAAGUGGUGCUGCGCUCUUUGAAAAGCCUUUAAUAAAACGUCUGUAGUAUCCCGCCAGGCCUAAGAAUCCACGGACACCCUUAACAGUAACUGGAAUUGGCCAAUCACGAAUUGCUGUAAUUUUUGAAGGAUCAACUUGAAGUCCGUUGCCAUUGACGAUAUGUCCUAAGUACUCGAUUUGAGACUGCCCGAAAAUACACUUGCUUUCUUUUGCGACCAAGUGGUGAGCUCGCAAGGUUUCAAAUACGAUGCGCAAAUGGUUCAAGUGAUCGUCCUGUGUUUUACUGUAAACCAAGAUGUUAUCAAAAAAAAUGAGGACAAAUUGACGGAGAAAAAGUUUAAAGAUACCGUUCAUCGUGGCUUGGAAGGUAGAGGGGGCGUUUGUAAGGCCGAACGGCAUGACGAGGAAUUCGUAGUGGCCCUCAUGAGUGCGAAAAGCUGUCUUUGGAAUGUCCUCUGGUUGAAUCAAAAUUUGAUGGAACCCGGCAAGCAAGUCUAACUUUGAAAAGAUUGUAGCCCCGAAUAGUUCGUCGAAGAGCUCAUCCGCCGUCGGAAUUGGAAAUCGAUCACGGAUUGUUACUGCAUUUAAGGCUCGAUAAUCGACACAGAAUCUCCAAGUACCGUCCUUCUUCUUAACGAGCAACACUGGUGAGGAAAAUGGGCUGGUACUUGGCCGAAUGAUUCCUUCCUGCAACAUUGCUGAUACUUGUCGCUCAAUUUAUUGUUUUUGGAAAUGGGGAUAUCGGUAGGGGCGUACAUUGAUCGGGGCGGAGUUAGGUUUAAGGUGUAUAGAGUGGUCCGUCGGACGUGUUGGGGGUAGGCCGGAUGUUCGAGUGAAGACGUCUCGGAACUGGUUAAGUAAUGGGGUAAAAGCUGUAGGUGUGUUAGGUGUGGUAUAGGACGGAUCAAAUGAUAUCUGUAGGCUAUAGAAAGCUGCAACAGCUCCCACUUCAUGUGUAUGCCUCAAUGAGUUUAGCUGAAUCUGCUUAGGACCCGAGCCAUGUAGUCCUUGCCAAGUAACUUGCAACGAUCCAGUACUGAAUUGAAAGGUUGAAGAAGCAUAGUCGGUUAUGACAGGGCCAAGAGUUGCCAGCCAAGCCACUCUUAAGACUACAUCCGAGCCAUGAAGAGGUAAGACAUAAAAAUCAGCAAUAAUAUCAGUACCCUGUAUAUGUAAGUUCACAUUUUUUACUCGCCCUUCACUGUGGAUACUCUCCCCAUUGCCAACUAAUACUGGAAAAGACGCCGAUGGAUCAAUAUCAAGGCCUAAAAACUGAGCAACACGGCUUUGAAUAAAAUUGUGUGUGCUUCCCCCAUCCAAAAGUAUCUGAACCGAAUGUCCUUGUAUCGUACCCAUGAAUCGCAAGGUCGUUGGAGAAAGGCAACCAGACAUAGCAUUGUAAGAAAUCAUUGUAGUGGCUGUCGAAUCUGUGAGGGUGGAAUUAAUUAUUGGGGUUUCAAUAGGUGUGUCGGUGGAGUUUGGACGAUCGGUUGGAGGCUCAAGGGGUUGUGGUGAUUGUUUGUCGUCGUCACUAGGGUAGGUGUCAUCUAAGAGGAAUAAUUGGGGUUUAUUGUAUUUAUGCCCCCUCACAUAUUUUUCAUCACAAUAGAAGCACAAAUUUAAUUCUCUCCUACGCUGUGCCUCGGCCUGUGUUAAUCGACGGGCAGCUGGAGGAAUUGGCGAUUUAGAUUGGUCUGGAGUAUGCUUAAGUGGGAUUGAUGGGUUUGGUAGCAGCCCAGGAGUGAAAGACUUGGGGUAAGGGAUUUGUUUUAAUAAGAGUUUUCGGGUUUCGGAUAGUUUAGCCUCUUGUAGGCGGGCCAAACUAAUGGCAUGGUUGAGUGUAGUGGGUCGAAAAUAUAAAACCUCAUUUUUUAUGUCGGCUCGUAGUCCAGAUAUAAAACAAUCCAUAAAAAAGGAAGGGGGCAAAUCGGUCGUUAGAUUGGAAAGAGAUUCAAAUCGGCUUUGGUACUCCUCGACUGUGGUUGUUUGUUGAAGUUUUGACAGCAAACCUUGGGGUUCUUCGAGAGUUGUAAAUUUGAAACGGUCAAGCAUUGCACGCGUGAAAUGGUCCCAACACGAGAGCUGCUUGUUAGUUUUCAUCCAUCUAUACCAUCGCCUAGCUUUGCCUUCAAAAUGAAAAGCUGCCAUUGUUAUCCGAACAGUAUCAUCUGUAUCGUAAAAAUCAAAGAAUUUGUUGGCAUUGAAAAUCCACGAUUCGGGGUCGGAACCGUCAAAUUUCGAGAGCUCAACACGGGCUGGUUUGGGUUUAAAUGGGAAAUCGUCGCAGUUAUAAUCGUCAUCAUUGACUGGGCGCCGGCGAUUACCCGUAGCGGAAGAUUCGGUGGUGAACCCAUCGGGUUUUGCGUGGCGCUCAGGGAAGGUUUGUUUUUCAGUAAGGAUUUGAUUUAGGUUUUGUAGCUGUCGGUUAAUAUCUUCCAUGGUGUUUUGUUGGGUAGUAACGAUGGAUUGAAGAGAGCUCAAUGCGGUGGAUUGGUUGUUGAGGACUGUGGCUUGGGCGGAAAGGUCGUGUUGCAAGGAGGUUACGGUUGUGUCAAGGCGAGCCAAACGGGUGUUGUCUGCCAUAGGGAGGAGGAGUAAGCUCAACGAAAGCACCAAAAUGUGAAGGCUUAAUCAAGGAUUCAAGCAAUUACAGUUUUAAAGGAAACUUUUAGUAUUUCUGAUUCAUUGAGUACAUGGAGGAUGAAUUACAAGGUUGAGACAGAAAAGAAGGAUUAAGAAGGGAAUAGAAAACUCAGUACAGCUGAGGGAAGAAGAGAGGUAGCAGCUAUUGCUAAAAAGUGAUAUCAUGCCUCACCUGGUAAUACCUACCCUUAUUUAUACAACAAUACCCAAUGUCAUUCAUCCGAAUGGUACCUAAAUUGUUGGGGUCUGUUACUUCCUAACGGUUUGCCAGGUGGAUCUUCAUUGCUGCUUGUGCUUGGCAUAGGGGCAGGGUUAAGGUCCAUU